rnacentral:lncRNA from 1 species
UAAUCGGCCCAAGGUUUGCCCAAAAACAAUUUGUGGGCUUUGAUUUAGCUUGGCCCAAUGAAGAUUUUUGGUCCAAUGGUGCUUAAGAGGGGUUUUCGGUUCAAGGGGCCCAAAAAUGAGGGUUCUUGGCCCAACUAAAGCCCAAGUAUAGGUUUCCGGCCCAUAUAAAGGAUAACUAGAAGCUUUCGUCCCACAAAGGCCCAAUAGAGGAGUUUUCAGCCCAAUAUAAUGUCUAAUGGAAGUUUUCGAUCCAUUAGGGCCCAAAGAGGGGUUUUCGGCCCAAAAUGACAAAAAGUAGAAGUUAUCAGCCCAAUAGGGCCUAAUAAGGAAGUCUUGGUCCAAUAAGGGAUUUAGACCGACAAUUCAUGGGCUGAGGCCCCAAAAUGAUUUGAUUUGGUUUAUUGGAUCGAUUUUUGAGUUAAUACGUGGUUGUUUCGACUUGAAUGACAAUGUACGAAAGUAUGAACUUAAUAACAUUGAAGUUUGAAUUUCACUAAAUGAAGUGUUGAAAGAUUACACAAAGAGAUUAUCUUGUAUAAGGAUCGACAUCUUAACCCUGAUUUGCUAGUUGUGACAUAGGUGCUUGCCUACCCCUUCGGUCUAUUUCAACCAGAUCUUGUCAAGCAUAUCUGGGUGCUCGCCUACCCCUUCGGUCUAUUUUAACCGGAUACUAUCAAGCAUAUCUGGGUACUUGCAAUCCCUUUUAGUUUAUAUCAACCGGGUACCGGUUCUAUUUCACUCCUUACUACUACCACAUAAUAUCAUAACAAAAAUCAUAGAGCCAUCAAGAAAAUACAUACAUAACUAACAAGUAUCAAAAAGAUAAUCAUCACACUACAUCAUAAACUAGUGGGCCGGCCUUGGUGCCUUCGACCCACAGAUAUUGCGAAUGAAGACUCACCUCAGACUGUGGGUAUCAAAUCCCACUCAGCGGAUGGCUCACGAACUCCUCUCCAUAUCGCACAAGCAUAAAACCCUAAUUAGAAAAUAGGUCACCUUCUAACCCGAAAGUCCAAAACCCUAAUUCUUGACUUAAGGCAAAAAGGGCUUUUGUUAAUUUUUCAUCAUUGGGCCUCCCUCCUCCCACGGCCCAAAUCCAAUCAAAGUCCAAAAAGGGCAUCCAAGCUUAACUAUAAAGCCUCUAAGGCCCAAUAUGGCCUAAGAACCUCNACGUGGUUGUUUCGACUUGAAUGACAAUGUACGAAAGUAUGAACUUAAUAACAUUGAAGUUUGAAUUUCACUAAAUGAAGUGUUGCAAGAUUACACAAAGAGAUUAUCUUGUAUAAGGAUCGACAUCUUAACCCUAAUUUGCUAGUUGUGACAUAGGUGCUUGCUUACCCCUUCGGUCUAUUUCAACCAGAUCUUGUCAAGCAUAUCUGGGUGCUCGCCUACCCCUUCAGUCUAUUUUAACCGGAUACUAUCAAGCAUAUCUGGGUACUUGCAAUCCCUUUUAGUUUAUAUCAACCGGGUACCGGUUCUAUUUCACUCCUUACUACUACCACAUAAUAUCAUAACAAAAAUCAUAGAGUCAUCAAGAAAAUACAUACAUAACUAACAAGUAUCAAAAAGAUAAUCAUCACACUACAUCAUAAACUAGUGGGCCGGGCUUGGUGCCUUCGACCCACAGAUAUUGCGAAUGAAGACUCACCUCAGACUGUGGGUAUCAAAUCCCACUCAGCGGAUGGCUCACGAACUCCUCUCCAUAUCGCACAAGCAUAAAACCCUAAUUAGAAAAUAGGUCACCUUCUAACCCGAAAGUCCAAAACCCUAAUUCUUGACUUAAGGCAAAAAGGGCUUUUGUUAAU